AUACGGAGGAUCCGAGCGUUAUCCGGAUUUAUUGGGUUUAAAGGGAGCGUAGGCGGGAGAUCAAGUCAGCUGUGAAAUGUAGAUGCUCAACAUCUGCACUGCAGUUGAAACUGGUUUUCUUGAGUGCGUAAGGGGCAGGCGGAAUUCGUCGUGUAGCGGUGAAAUGCUUAGAUACGACGAAGAACUCCGAUGGCGAAGGCAGCCUGCCGGGCCGCGACUGACGCUGAAGCUCGAAGGUGCGGGUAUCGAACAGGAUUAGAUACCCUGGUAGUCCGCACGGUAAACGAUGGAUACUCGCUGUCGGCGAUAUACUGUCGGUGGCCAAGCGAAAGCGUUAAGUAUCCCACCUGGGGCGUACGCCGGCAACGGUGAAACUCAAAUGAAUUGACGGGG
rnacentral:rRNA from 1 species